UGAAAAAUACUACUUUCUGAAAUAGUGAGAAGAGCGGCAAGUCUCUUAGGUGUCUGACUUAAGGGAGGAAAACUGGAUUCUUACAUCUGUGCUGUGAGCCAUCUAUUACUGUGUCCUGCAGCCUGUGCAGAGUCCACCGUGCAUCCAUGAGAGAGGAAGGGAAGCAGAGGAUCCUGGGAACGUCAUGAACCUCACGUGGUCUCGCGGAGCACUCGGGCGUCAGGGUCCCCGGCGCCCCUGACCACUGGUUGAGGACAGCUACCUUACCUGCCGAGGGGACUGGGUUGUUGACUGCUCUCAGCUGCUUGCACACGCGCCCAGCAGGCCGGGCCUGAGCAGCGCUCCUAGAGGUCGGCUGAAUUAAACGAUUAAAGGAAGGAUUGAGGUCUGCCGGCAAGGAAAAAGUGGAGAGUGGUGUCGGGAACCAGCCCGCAGUGACCAGUGCUGCCCAUGCAGGACACCAGUGGAGACCUUGGGAAAACCAGUGACAGUGUCCAGUGAGAGUUUGCUUUUAUAGAGCAGCAUGCAGAAGCUGAAGGCAGAGGAAAACAGCAUGAUGUUGAGCAGUAUGAGAACCCAAAGACCGUUCAUUUUGUACUCACUUAAACGUUUUCCCCACUGUCGAGUAUCUCCUGGUAAUUAAAAAAAUAAACAACAAAACAUUUUCCUAGGCGUUGGGUCUGUUCUACAGUUAACUUUGGCAGUGGUGGUCUGACACUCCAGGGUUCAUGCUCAGCAUUUAGAGCCUCUGAGAUUUUUUAUUCUUUUCAAGAUUGGAUCCUAGAUACUAUUCCAGUCUAGGAACUGUCACUUUGAGAUUUAAACCAAAUCUCAAAAAACCUAAAACAGAAACCACCCGUAAACUACACAGGAAUCACUUUGAUCUGGUCUGGUGUUGGGAAUGGGAGCUGAGGGAUGCUGUCCCCACUCAUGUGGCUGGACUGUGGGGGCCUGAGUCCAGGCAGCUGUUGGCUCGUGUGCUGGGCCCCUCCAGGGAGCCCCGGGAAAGACUGUCUUCUCCUAGGCACUUACCCACUUUCGUCGACACCUCGGGUUGUAAACACCUACCACACACACAGGGGCCAGUGU